CGGCAGCACGGGAGCUUGCUCCUGGUGGCGAGUGGCGAACGGGUGAGUAAUGUAUCGGAACGUACCCAGUCGUGGGGGAUAACUCUCCGAAAGGAGAGCUAAUACCGCAUACGUCCUGAGGGGGAAAGCGGGGGACCUGCAAAGGCCUCGCGCGAUUGGAGCGGCCGAUAUCGGAUUAGCUAGUUGGCGGGGUAAAGGCCCACCAAGGCGACGAUCCGUAGCGGGUCUGAGAGGACGACCCGCCACACUGGAACUGAGACACGGUCCAGACUCCUACGGGAGGCAGCAGUGGGGAAUUUUGGACAAUGGGGGCAACCCUGAUCCAGCCAUUCCGCGUGAGUGAAGAAGGCCUUCGGGUUGUAAAGCUCUUUCAGCAGGAGCGAAACGGUCGUUUUUAAUACAGACGGCUAAUGACGGUACCUGCAGAAGAAGCACCGGCUAACUACGUGCCAGCAGCCGCGGUAAUACGUAGGGUGCGAGCGUUAAUCGGAAUUACUGGGCGUAAAGCGUGCGCAGGCGGCGACAUAAGACAGAUGUGAAAUCCCCGGGCUCAACCUGGGAACUGCGUUUGUGACUGUGUUGCUAGAGUGUAGCAGAGGGGGGUGGAAUUCCACGUGUAGCAGUGAAAUGCGUAGAUAUGUGGAGGAACACCGAUGGCGAAGGCAGCCCCCUGGGUUAACACUGACGCUCAUGCACGA
rnacentral:rRNA from 1 species